UUCCCACCCCAGAGGCCCACGUGGCGGCUAGUACUCUGGUAUCACGGUACCUUUGUACGCCUGUUUUAUAC
rfam:Human poliovirus 3 isolate EST02-E252 polyprotein mRNA, partial cds.